rnacentral:rRNA from 1 species
GCUUGUCUCAAAGAUUAAGCCAUGCAUGUCUUAGUGUAAAUAACUCUUAUGAAACUGCGAAUGGCUCAUUAUAUCAGUUAUAGUUUAUUUGAUGGUCCUUACUAUUUGGAUAACCGUAGUAAUUCUAGAGCUAAUACAUGCAUCAAGCCCUGACUUCGGAAGGGGUGUAUUUAUUAGAUGGAAACCAAUGCGGGGCAACCCGGAAUAUGGUGAUUCAUAAUAACUUUCGGAUCGUUUACGAUGCAUCAUUCAAGUUUCUGCCCUAUCAGCUUUGGAUGGUAGGGUAUUGGCCUACCAUGGCUUUAACGGGUAACGGAGAAUUAGGGUUCGAUUCCGGAGAGGGAGCCUGAGAAACGGCUACCACAUCCAAGGAAGGCAGCAGG